rnacentral:misc_RNA from 1 species
GAUGAAGAACGCAGCGAAAUGCGAUAAGUAGUGUGAAUUGCAGAAUUCAGUGAAUCAUCGAAUCUUUGAACGCACAUUGCGCCCCUUGGUAUUCCAUGGGGCAUGCCUGUUCGAGCGUCAUUUGUACCUUCAAGCUCUGCUUGGUGUUGGGUGUUUGUCUCGCCUCUGCGUGUAGACUCGCCUCAAAACAAUUGGCAGCCGGCGUAUUGAUUUCGGAGCGCAGUACAUCUCGCGCUUUGCACUCAUAACGACGACGUCCAAAAGUACAUUUUUACUCUCUUGACCUCGGAUCAGGUAGGGAUACCCGCUGAACUUAAGCAUAUCAAUAAGCGGAGGA